GACGAAAUCCGCCAUGGCUCCUCCCGUCCCGCGCCGCCGGCGACGGAGAAACCCGCCGUCUCUCUCCCUCCCCACGUCUUCGCCGCCGUCCGCAAGUCGUGGGCCGGCAUUGCUUCCCGCCGGCUGGCGGACCCCGCGCAGCACCUGUUCGCGUUCAGGUCCACGGCCACGCACCGCCGCGGCGAGAUCAUCGCCGUGCCGCAGGGCGGGGAAUCAGCCUCCUCCCGCCCCGGCCGCGCGCGCGACUUCGGCCCACAGGGCUCUCCGGUUGCGGCCUCAUGAGCUCCGCGGUGGCCACGCCCCACGACGACCUACGUCCGUGCGGGACCUGGAGGCUGGGCAGCUGGCCAGUUACGGUACCGCGAGGUCGCCCUGGCGCUCGCCAAACGCGACGGCGAGCUCGCCACUGGCCCCUGGGCGGUGGCGCGUGAGGCGGCGGUCCCACUCCAACCGGGGGAGCGGCGCCGGCGCGAGCGGCCUGGCUGACCCGCGCGCCCUGCCCACCUGCUACGCGCCGUCGCCGUAGCCAGGCUGCUGCAGUGCCGCCGUGCCUUCUCGUCACUGCAAGUACGUUCUGCUGGAGCAAGCUCUGCUCUGAUCCAUGGUGUUGGACUGUUCGUUUCAUUAUCGCGUAUGGCCAAUGCAAAUUCACCGCCGGCUGCUUCCUAGCCCAUUCGUAUAAAAAUAAAUUUAAUGAGACUGCAGUUGAUCGGCUAGUGCUGCAGCAUUCAAGAUGCAAUUUUAUUUGUUGGCGAAAAUAGAAGGGGGGGGGGGUGGAAAUUGGAAAUUGAGAGAUUAUGCAGUGUCUCCUCGCAGUUUGGUAUAAAUUCGUACCGCGCAGAUCAUACAGGAUGCGAAAGCUUUGAGAUUUGAGACCAUGGAUUGGCCACAGAACAGAAAUCGCCGCAGCUGGUGAAGAAACAAUUGAGUAUCUGAGGGAUACAGCAGCAGGACGCCAAGGCCCACCAUACACAUCAUAAUCUCAUUCUCCAGAAUCUAGUUGUACAUCAGGUGGAGAAUGCAAAAAAACAAAAAACAAAAAAGAAGAAGCUCGGACUAGAUCAAAAGAAUUAUAAUUCAGAAUAAGCUCUUGGAUUGGUGAUGUAGUUCUAGCUUGAGAUUUAAGAAGAGGGCAACAUAGUGAGUCAUGGAUCCAUGAAGUAUGCAACUCCAUGCUUGUUCUUUCUUUAUAUCUUGUAUCUAGGAAAAAAAUGCUUGCUCGGUGCCGUUGUUAUCGGGUGUGAGCGACCCGUUUGGACUGUAUAGAAUAGGGGAAUCGACUGGGUGCCGUCCAUUUCGACGCCUUAGCUUCGUUGUCAUCGGCGAGCGAGGGCCGAGGGGAGCCGAAUCGAGGAAUCAGAGUCCUUCUCGUCGGAAUCGGCGAUGCUGAUGGGCAAAAUCUGUGACGUCGCCGACGGCAGACCUGGUGGCACCAGGCCGGGGACGCCAGCAAGAAGGCGAAUUCGUUUCACGCCGGCGGCCAGCAAGCUGCCCCUGCAGAUACAGGGCGCGGAUGCCAUGUCCUCUCCGCCAAUUCGUUUCACGCACGAGGACUCCACAAAAGGGUGACGGCCACCAGUGAGGGUCUUUGAUGAAGAUCUGCACGGUGCAUUUAGCAGGUCCUAGGGGAAAACUUGUGUGGUCAUUAUACUAAACUUACAGCUAGAGAAGUUUGUGUGAUAUCCACAUUACUCCUGUGUAAUUUUCUAAACAUAGUAGAUAACGUCUCUGAAUUAUUUGGUCCAGUAAAGUUACAUAGUAACUAUUAUGAGCUUGUUUUCUUUAUGAAGAUCAAGUAGUUAAAUAUAAUUUCCAUUUUGUUUCGUUAAAGCUUGCAAUGCUUUCAUCCCAUCAGAUCUUACAAUGUGAGUUUUAGUGUAAUUUGUGCAUAAGACAACUAUAAGAACCUUUACUAUAUUUCACAGUACUUUACAGAGUUAUUUUUUUUCAUUUCUGUAAUUCUAAAGAUAAUGCAUGUGCCCCUUUGUCACUGUGUAUCCUGUGUAUGGCCCCUUUGCCUUGUGCUACUACUUCCACGAUUCUUUUUGUGUUGGGGUUAAAAGGGUGUUAGUUUAUUCCCGCCAGUUCUUAUUAUAAUGAUUAUAUGCGUCCUUACUAAUUAUAUUGUGUUUCCUUUGUUCCUUUUUCCCUAAGUGGAGCCAAAAGAAUCACUCCACCUCCACUGCAAGGGGUCAGGGUCCUUUUUUGCAAGCAAGUAUAUGAAGCUCAUGUUUGCCGGCUGGAAAUAUCUUUCAACUACUGAUGUCAGUUUCAGAAAAGCUCUCUGAUAGUCAGUACUCGUGUUGUCAAGCACUGGGUCUCGUGAUGGCACUUAAAAGGCUCCAUCUACACGGAUCUCCUUUACAGGAGGUCAAAAUUUUCAGGUGUUGAAUUUUUCAGGUUUGUGUCAAAAUUUUCAGUGUGUUUUUUUGCUUGUUAUCACCCAAAAAAUGUACCUCUAAAUUUCUGUUUUUCAAGAUGUGUUUUUUCCUUAUUAUCAGCCAAAAAGUUGUACAUGUAAAUAUGUGUUUUUUUUCUUGUUAUCAGCCCAAAAAUUGUAUCUGUAAAUGUGUGUCUUUUCAUAUAUAUGUUUUUUCUUCAGAUCCAUGAUAAUAAAAAAUUGUGUGUCUUUUCAUAUAUCAAAAAU